AAUCUCUCCCCUCGGUGGCCUUCUCUGACUCUGACCCUCCUAUGCCCCUCUUAUAAGACCCUUGGGUUGUCACCUGGGUCAUCCCGGGUCACCUCCCCAUCCCAGGAUCCUUAACUUCAUCUCAGCUGCAGCGUCCCUGUUGUCCUGUAAGGGAACAUUCACAGGCCUUGGCAAUUGGAUGUAGGUGCCUUUGGGGCUGUGAUUCAGCCAACCCCGCCCCUUGGUGACUUCUGGGUCAGAACCCAGGGGAUAGUUGGGUCCUGAGGUUUGGGGCCUGUCCUCCUCACUUGCCGUGGUUCACACCUAGACUCUGGGGCUCAGGCCUGCCUUCCCCCUUUCUCCCUCCUGGGCGCAGGGCUGCGCUGGCAGGGCUGUCACUCAGCCUGAUGGAACGCCUGGCCGAGGAGUACGGCGCGAGGGUGGUGCGGACACUGACGGUGCAGUACCGCAUGCACCAGGCUAUCAUGCGCUGGGCCUCGGACACCAUGUACCUCGGGCAGCUCACGGCCCACCCUUCCGUGGCGGGGCACCUCCUGAGGGACCUCCCAGGUGUGGCUGCCACAGAAGAGACGGGUGUGCCUCUGCUCCUGGUGGACACCGCUGGCUGCGGGCUGUUUGAGCUGGAGGAGGAGGACGAACAGUCGAAAGGGAACCCUGGUGAGCUUGCUUGCAGAUGGCCAGCUUUUUUGUUUAAACAUACCUCCAGCUCUUUAAAAAUAAAAGGCACUUUAAUUGCCUGAUUCCGGGAGGAGCUGAGAGCAGUUGUUGAUGGCCGUGAAAAAACGGAGCCCCACUCUCCAAGAGGCUGAGCAGCAU
rnacentral:sRNA from 1 species